CCUACGGGAGGCAGCAGUGGGGAAUAUUGGACAAUGGGCGCAAGCCUGAUCCAGCCAUGCCGCGUGUGUGAAGAAGGCCUUCGGGUUGUAAAGCACUUUUAUCCGGAAAGAAAAGCUUUGGGUUAAUACCCUGAAGUCAUGACGGUACCGGAAGAAUAAGCACCGGCUAACUUCGUGCCAGCAGCCGCGGUAAUACGAAGGGUGCAAGCGUUACUCGGAAUUACUGGGCGUAAAGCGUGCGUAGGUGGUUUGUUAAGUCUGAUGUGAAAGCCCUAGGCUCAACCUGGGAAUUGCAUUGGAUACUGGCAGGCUAGAGUGCGGUAGAGGAUAGUGGAAUUCCCGGUGUAGCAGUGAAAUGCGUAGAGAUCGGGAGGAACAUCUGUGGCGAAGGCGACUAUCUGGGCCAGCACUGACACUGAGGCACGAAAGCGUGGGGAGCAAACAGGAUUAGAUACCCUGGUAGUCCACGCCCUAAACGAUGCGAACUGGAUGUUGGGUGCAACUAGGCACUCAGUAUCGAAGCUAACGCGUUAAGUUCGCCGCCUGGGGAGUUCGGUUGCAAGCGNGAGACGAGAGUUAGAGCGNGAGAGNGCGAGCGACGACGAGGAGGAGG
rnacentral:rRNA from 1 species